rnacentral:rRNA from 1 species
GACGAACGCUGGCGGCGUGCUUAACACAUGCAAGUCGAACGGAAAGGCCCUGCUUUUGUGGGGUGCUCGAGUGGCGAACGGGUGAGUAACACGUGAGUAACCUGCCCUUGACUUUGGGAUAACUUCAGGAAACUGGGGCUAAUACCGGAUAGGAGCUCCUGCUGCAUGGUGGGGGUUGGAAAGUUUCGGCGGUUGGGGAUGGACUCGCGGCUUAUCAGCUUGUUGGUGGGGUCCUGGCCUCCCAAGGCUCUGACGGGUAGCCGGCCUGAGAGGGUGACCGGCCACAUUGGGACUGAGAUACGGCCCAGACUCCUACGGGAGGCAGCAGUGGGGAAUAUUGCACAAUGGGCGGAAGCCUGAUGCAGCAACGCCGCGUGCGGGAUGACGGCCUUCGGGUUGUAAACCGCUUUCGCCUGUGACGAAGCGUGAGUGACGGUAAUGGGUAAAGAAGCACCGGCUAACUACGUG